GAUGAACGCUGGCGGCGUGCCUAAUACAUGCAAGUCGAGCGAACAGACGAGGAGCUUGCUCCUUUGACGUUAGCGGCGGACGGGUGAGUAACACGUGGGUAACCUACCUAUAAGACUGGGAUAACUUCGGGAAACCGGAGCUAAUACCGGAUAAUAUUUUGAACCGCAUGGUUCGAUAGUGAAAGAUGGCUUUGCUAUCACUUAUAGAUGGACCUGCGCCGUAUUAGCUAGUUGGUAAGGUAACGGCUUACCAAGGCAACGAUACGUAGCCGACCUGAGAGGGUGAUCGGCCACACUGGAACUGAGACACGGUCCAGACUCCUACGGGAGGCAGCAGUAGGGAAUCUUCCGCAAUGGGCGAAAGCCUGACGGAGCAACACCGCGUGAGUGAUGAAGGUCUUCGGAUCGUAAAACUCUGUUAUUAGGGAAGAACAAAUGUGUAAGUAACUGUGCACGUCUUGACGGUACCUAAUCAGAAAGCCACGGCUAACUACGUGCCAGCAGCCGCGGUAAUACGUAGGUGGCAAGCGUUAUCCGGAAUUAUUGGGCGUAAAGCGCGCGUAGGCGGUUUUUUAAGUCUGAUGUGAAAGCCCACGGCUCAACCGUGGAGGGUCAUUGGAAACUGGAAAACUUGAGUGCAGAAGAGGAAAGUGGAAUUCCAUGUGUAGCGGUGAGAUGCGCAGAGAUAUGGAGGAACACCAGUGGCGAAGGCGACUUUCUGGUCUGUAACUGACGCUGAUGUGCGAAAGCGUGGGGAUCAAACAGGAUUAGGUACCCUGGUAGUCCACGCCGUAAACGAUGAGUGCUAAGUGUUAGGGGGGUUCCGCCCCUUAGUGCUGCAGCUAACGCAUUAAGCACUCCGCCUGGGGAGUACGACCGCAAGGUUGAAACUCAAAGGAAUUGACGGGGACCCGCACAAGCGGUGGAGCAUGUGGUUUAAUUCGAAGCAACGCGAAGAACCUUACCAAAUCUUGACAUCCUUUGACCCUUCUAGAGAUAGAAGUUUCCCCUUCGGGGGACAAAGUGACAGGUGGUGCAUGGUUGUCGUCAGCUCGUGUCGUGAGAUGUUGGGUUAAGUCCCGCAACGAGCGCAACCCUUAAGCUUAGUUGCCAUCAUUAAGUUGGGCACUCUAAGUUGACUGCCGGUGACAAACCGGAGGAAGGUGGGGAUGACGUCAAAUCAUCAUGCCCCUUAUGAUUUGGGCUACACACGUGCUACAAUGGACAAUACAAAGGGCAGCGAAACCGCGAGGUCAAGCAAAUCCCAUAAAGUUGUUCUCAGUUCGGAUUGUAGUCUGCAACUCGACUACAUGAAGCUGGAAUCGCUAGUAAUCGUAGAUCAGCAUGCUAUGGUGAAUACGUUCCCGGGUCUUGUACACACCGCCCGUCACACCACGAGAGUUUGUAACACCCGAAGCCGGUGGAGUAACCAUUUGGAGCUAGCCGUCGAAGGUGGGACAAAUGAUUGGGGUGAAGUCGUAACAAGGUAGCCGUAUCGGAAGG
rnacentral:rRNA from 1 species